GAUGAACGCUGGCGGCGUGCCUAAUACAUGCAAGUCGAGCGAACGGACGAGAAGCUUGCUUCUCUGAUGUUAGCGGCGGACGGGUGAGUAACACGUGGAUAACCUACCUAUAAGACUGGGAUAACUUCGGGAAACCGGAGCUAAUACCGGAUAAUAUUUUGAACCGCAUGGUUCAAAAGUAAAAGACGGUCUUGCUGUCACUUAUAGAUGGAUCCGCGCUGCAUUAGCUAGUUGGUAAGGUAACGGCUUACCAAGGCAACGAUGCAUAGCCGACCUGAGAGGGUGAUGGCCCCAAGUGGAACGGGACCAGGGUCCGUCCCCCUAGGGGGGGCAGCAGAGGGGAAUGUUCGGAAGUGGUGGAAAACCUGGCGGACCGCCGCGGAGUGAGUUGGAAAGGUCUUGGGUGCGUAAACCUUUUUUUUGGGGGAAAAAAAUAUGUAAAAGUACCUGUGCACUUAUUGAGGUUACUUAAUAAAAAAGCCCGGGCUAACUACGCG
rnacentral:rRNA from 1 species